rnacentral:rRNA from 1 species
CGGUUUUACCUUUAACACCAAGGGAUUUGAGAAGAAGGUAUUGUCUAUAAUGGGCAGUACGAAGUUCUGAAAUUCUUAGGCGUUAAAGGUAAGAUAGUGGCGAACGGGUGAGUAACGCGUAGAUAACCUGCCUCGUAGAUGGGGACAACGUCUCGAAAGGGACGCUAAUACCGAAUGUGCUGUACAAUAUGCAUAUAUUGUACAAAAAAGGUGGCGACUAGAAAUAGGCUGCCGCUACGAGAGGGGUCUGCGUCUGAUUAGCUAGUUGGUGUAGUAAAGGUGCACCAAGGCGACGAUCAGUAGCCGGUCUGAGAGGAUGAACGGCCACACUGGGACUGAGACACGGCCCAGACUCCUACGGGAGGCAGCAGUGGGGAAUCUUCCGCAAUGGACGAAAGUCUGACGGAGCAACGCCGCGUGAGUGAAGAAGGUUUUCGGAUCGUAAAACUCUGUCAAUUGGGACGAAUGUGCUGAAGUUUAAGAGAUGUCGGCAAUGACGGUACCAAAGAAGGAAGCCACGGCUAACUACGUGCCAGCAGCCGCGGUAAUACGUAGGUGGCGAGCGUUGUCCGGAAUUAUUGGGCGUAAAGGGCGUGUAGGCGGGUAGUUAAGUCUUAAGUAUAAAUGCGGCGCU